UAACUGAAGAGUUUGAUCCUGGCUCAGAACGAACGUUGGCGGCGUGCUUAAUACAUGCAAGUCGAACGAGAAAGCACCUUCGGGUGUGAGUACAGUGGCAGACGGGUGAGUAAUACAUAGGUAACCUGCCCUUAAGUGGGGGAUAACCUUCCGAAAGGAGGGCUAAUACCGCAUAAGACCACAGCUACACAUGUAGCUGGGGUAAAAGAUGGCCUCUACUUGUAAGCUAUCACUUAGGGAUGGGCUUAUGCACCAUUAGCUAGUUGGUAAGGUAACGGCUUACCAAGGCUACGAUGGUUAGCUGAUCUGAGAGGUUGAUCAGCCACACUGGAACUGAGACACGGUCCAGACUCCUACGGGAGGCAGCAGUAGGGAAUAUUGCGCAAUGGAGGAAACUCUGACGCAGCGACGCCGCGUGAGCGAUGAAGGUUUUCGGAUCGUAAAGCUCUGUCGGGAGGGAAGAAAAACGGAAUGGCUAAUAUCCAUACCGCUUGACGGUACCUCCAGAGGAAGCACCGGCUAACUACGUGCCAGCAGCCGCGGUAAUACGUAGGGUGCAAACGUUGUUCGGAUUCACUGGGUAUAAAGGGUUCGUAGGCGGGCUAUUAAGUCAGAGGUGAAAGCCAACGGCUCAACCGUUGAAUUGCCUCUGAUACUGGUAGUCUUGAGUCCGUUAGGGGAUGGUGGAAUUCCUGGUGUCGCGGUGAAAUGCGUAAAUAUCAGGAGGAACACCGGUGGCGAAGGCGGCCAUCUGGGACGGUACUGACGCUGAGGAACGAAAGCAUGGGUAUCAAACGGGAUUAGAUACCCCGGUAGUCCAUGCCGUAAACGAUGGGCACUAGGUGUUGGAGGAUCUUACCCCUUCAGUGCCGUAGCUAACGCAUUAAGUGCCCCACCUGGGGAGUACGAUCGCAAGGUUGAAACUCAAAGGAAUUGACGGGGGCCCGCACAAGCGGUGGAGCAUGUGGUUUAAUUCGAUGAUACGCGAGGAACCUUACCGGGGCUCGAACGUGGGUUGACAGUCGCGGAAACGUGAUCUUCUUCGGACAAGGUGCGAGGUGCUGGAUGGCUGUCGUCGGCUGGGGCGGUGAGGUGUCGGGUUAAGUCCCAUAACGAGCGCAA
rnacentral:rRNA from 1 species